UACGUAGGGGGCAAGCGUUGUCCGGAAUUAUUGGGCGUAAAGCGCGCGCAGGCGGCCUUUUAAGUCUGGUGUUUAAACCUGAGGCUCAACCUCGGGUCGCAUUGGAAACUGGGAGGCUUGAGUGCAGAAGAGGAGAGUGGAAUUCCACGUGUAGCGGUGAAAUGCGUAGAGAUGUGGAGGAACACCAGUGGCGAAGGCGACUCUCUGGGCUGUAACUGACGCUGAGGCGCGAAAGCGUGGGGAGCAAACAGG
rnacentral:rRNA from 1 species